GCAGGCGUAGUUUCAUAAAAACGUUGGAUUGUGAUUCCGAAAAAAGGGGUUAAAACCCCCUCACCCGCC
rnacentral:tRNA from 1 species